CGAACGGGUGAGUAAUACAUAAGCAACCUACCCACGAAGACUGGGAUAAUCUCUGGAAACGGGGACUAAUACCGGAUAGGUAAUCGGAAGGCAUCUUCUGAUUAUUAAAGGUUAAAAAACACUGGUGGAUGGGCUUAUGGCGCAUUAGUUAGUUGGUGAGGUAACGGCCCACCAAGACGAUGAUGCGUAGCCGGCCUGAGAGGGUGAACGGCCACAUUGGGACUGAGACACGGCCCAG
rnacentral:rRNA from 1 species